AGAGUUUGAUCCUGGCUCAGGACGAACGCUGGCGGCGUGCCUAAUACAUGCAAGUCGAGCGAAUCAAUAAAAGCUUGCUUUUAAAAGAUUAGCGGCGGACGGGUGAGUAACACGUGGGCAACCUGCCUGUAAGACUGGGAUAACUUCGGGAAACCGGAGCUAAUACCGGAUAAUCCAUUUCCUCACAUGAGGAAAUGCUGAAAGAUGGUUUCGGCUAUCACUUACAGAUGGGCCCGCGGCGCAUUAGCUAGUUGGUGAGGUAACGGCUCACCAAGGCGACGAUGCGUAGCCGACCUGAGAGGGUGAUCGGCCACACUGGGACUGAGACACGGCCCAGACUCCUACGGGAGGCAGCAGUAGGGAAUCUUCCGCAAUGGACGAAAGUCUGACGGAGCAACGCCGCGUGAGCGAAGAAGGCCUUCGGGUCGUAAAGCUCUGUUGUUAGGGAAGAACAAGUACGAGAGUAACUGCUCGUACCUUGACGGUACCUAACCAGAAAGCCACGGCUAACUACGUGCCAGCAGCCGCGGUAAUACGUAGGUGGCAAGCGUUGUCCGGAAUUAUUGGGCGUAAAGCGCGCGCAGGCGGUCCCUUAAGUCUGAUGUGAAAGCCCCCGGCUCAACCGGGGAGGGUCAUUGGAAACUGGGGAACUUGAGUGCAGAAGAGAAGAGCGGAAUUCCACGUGUAGCGGUGAAAUGCGUAGAGAUGUGGAGGAACACCAGUGGCGAAGGCGGCUCUUUGGUCUGUAACUGACGCUGAGGCGCGAAAGCGUGGGGAGCAAACAGGAUUAGAUACCCUGGUAGUCCACGCCGUAAACGAUGAGUGCUAAGUGUUAGAGGGUUUCCGCCCUUUAGUGCUGCAGCAAACGCAUUAAGCACUCCGCCUGGGGAGUACGGCCGCAAGGCUGAAACUCAAAGGAAUUGACGGGGGCCCGCACAAGCGGUGGAGCAUGUGGUUUAAUUCGAAGCGACGCGAAGAACCUUACCAGGUCUUGACAUCCUCUGAUCCUCCUAGAGAUAGGACUUUCCCCUUCGGGGGACAGAGUGACAGGUGGUGCAUGGUUGUCGUCAGCUCAUGUCGUGAGAUGUUGGGUUAAGUCCCGCAACGAGCGCAACCCUUGAUCUUAGUUGCCAGCAUUCAGUUGGGCACUCUAAGGUGACUGCCGGUGACAAACCGGAGGAAGGUGGGGAUGACGUCAAAUCAUCAUGCCCCUUAUGACCUGGGCUACACACGUGCUACAAUGGAUGGUACAAAGGGUCGCAAAACCGCGAGGUCGAGCCAAUCCCAUAAAACCAUUCUCAGUUCGGAUUGUAGGCUGCAAUUCGCCUACAUGAAGCUGGAAUCGCUAGUAAUCGCGGAUCAGCAUGCCGCGGUGAAUACGUUCCCGGGCCUUGUACACACCGCCCGUCACACCACGAGAGUUUGUAACACCCGAAGUCGGUGGGGUAACCUUUUGGAGCCAGCCGCCUAAGGUGGGACAGAUGAUUGGGGUGAAGUCGUAACAAGGUAACC
rnacentral:rRNA from 1 species